rnacentral:rRNA from 1 species
ACGCUCGACACCUACGGGACAGCAGUGGGGAAUAUUGCACAAUGGGGGAAACCCUGAUGCAGCGACGCCGCGUGGAGGAAGAAGGUCUUCGGAUUGUAAACUCCUGUUGUUGGGGAAAAAGAGGAUGGUACCCAACAAGGAAGUGACGGCUAACUACGUGCCAGCAGCCGCGGUAAUCUGAGCGGGCUGGCAAGGC